rnacentral:rRNA from 1 species
GAUGAACGCUGGCGGCGUGCCUAAUACAUGCAAGUCGAGCGAACAGACGAGGAGCUUGCUCCUUUGACGUUAGCGGCGGACGGGUGAGUAACGCGUGGAUAACCUACCUAUAAGACUGGGAUAACUUCGGGAAACCGGAGCUAAUACCGGAUAACAUGUUGAACCGCAUGGUUCAACAGUGAAAGACGGUCUUGCUGUCACUUAUAGAUGGAUCCGCGCCGCAUUAGCUAGUUGGUAAGGUAACGGCUUACCAAGGCAACGAUGCGUAGCCGACCUGAGAGGGUGAUCGGCCACACUGGAACUGAGACACGGUCCAGACUCCUACGGGAGGCAGCAGUAGGGAAUCUUCCGCAAUGGGCGAAAGCCUGACGGAGCAACGCCGCGUGAGUGAAGAAGGUCUUCGGAUCGUAAAACUCUGUUAUUAGGGAAGAACAAAUGUGUAAGUAACUAUGCACGUCUUGACGGUACCUAAUCAGAAAGCCACGGCUAACUACGUG